UGCAGUCGAGGGGUAUAGUUCUUCGGAAUUAGAGACCGGCGCACGGGUGCGUAACGCGUAUGCAAUCUACCUUUUACAGAGGGAUAGCCCAGAGAAAUUUGGAUUAAUACCUCAUAGUAUAAUGACUCGGCAUCGAGAUAUUAUUAAAGUCACAACGGUAAAAGAUGAGCAUGCGUCCCAUUAGCUAGUUGGUAAGGUAACGGCUUACCAAGGCUACGAUGGGUAGGGGUCCUGAGAGGGAGAUCCCCCACACUGGUACUGAGACACGGACCAGACUCCUACGGGAGGCAGCAGUGAGGAAUAUUGGACAAUGGGCGCAAGCCUGAUCCAGCCAUGCCGCGUGCAGGAUGACGGUCCUAUGGAUUGUAAACUGCUUUUGUACAGGAAGAAACACUGGUUCGUGAACCAGCUUGACGGUACUGUAAGAAUAAGGAUCGGCUAACUCCGUGCCA
rnacentral:rRNA from 1 species